UGCACCAGCAGUCGAACAAGGCUCUCCAAAUGAUCAACAGGGAAGGUGUAUGCUCACUUGGACUUUUCAUGCAUGCUUGGUGAGAUUCUCACCUUCUUCUGAGAGCCUAAUAUUUAGGGGCUAACAUUUGUGUACUCUACAAGUUAUAAAUUGAGCUAAAUGUAUUACAAAAUAUUUUAGGUGA